rnacentral:rRNA from 1 species
UACGGGGGGGGCAAGCGUUGUUCGGAAUUACUGGGCGUAAAGGGCUCGUAGGCGGCCAACUAAGUCGGACGUGAAAUCCCCAGGCUCAACCUGGGAACUGCGUCUGAUACCGGAUGGCUUGAAUCCGGGAGAGGGAUGCAGAAUUCCAGGUGUAGCGGUGAAAUGCGUAGAUAUCUGGAGGAAUACCGGUGGCGAAGGCGGCAUCCUGGACCGGCAUUGACGCUGAGGAGCGAAAGCCAGGGGAGCAAACGGG